CUCCCAUACACUGUGUGUGUAUAGAAUAGAAUGUCUCCCAUACACUGUGUGUGUAUAGAAUAGAAUGUCUCCCAUACACUGUGUGUGUAUAGAAUAGAAUGUCUCCCAUACACUGUGUGUGUGUAGAAUAGAAUGUCUCCCAUACACUGUGUGUGUGUAGAAUAGAAUGUCUCCCAUACACUGUGUGUGUGUAGAAUAGAAUGUCUCCCAUACACUGUGUGUGUAUAGAAUAGAAUGUCUCCCAUACACUGUGUGUGUGUAGAAUAGAAUGUCUCCCAUACACUGUGUGUGUAUAGAAUAGAAUGUCUCCCAUACACUGUGUGUGUAUAGAAUAGAAUGUCUCCCAUACACUGUGUGUGUGUGUAUAAUAGAAUGUCUCCCAUACACUGUGUGUGUGUAUAUAAUAGAAUGUCUCCCAUACACUGUGUGUGUGUAUAAUAUAAUGUCUCCCAUACACUGUGUGUGUGUGUAUAUAAUAGAAUGUCUCCCAUGCACUGUGUGUGUAUAUAAUAGAAUGUCUCCCAUACACUGUGUGUGUAUAUAAUAGAAUGUCUCCCAUACACGGAGUGUGUGUAUAUAAUAGAAUGUCUCCCAUACACGGAGUGUGUGUAUAUAAUAGAAUGUCUCCCAUACACGGAGUGUGUGUAUAUAAUAGAAUGUCUCCCAUACACUGUGUGUAUAUAAUAGAAUGUUUCCCAUACACUAUGUGUGUAUAUAAUAGAAUGUCUCCCAUACACUGUGUGUGUGUAUAUAUAAUAGAAUGUCUCCCAUACACUGUGUGUGUGUGUAUAUAAUAGAAUGUCUCCCAUACACUGUGUGUGUGUGUAUAUAAUAGAAUGUCUCCCAUACACUGUGUGUAUAAAAUAGAAUGUCUCCCAUACACUGUGUGUGUGUGUAUAUAAUAGAAUGUCUCCCAUACACUGUGUGUGUAUAGAAUAGAAUGUCUCCCAUACACUGUGUGUGUAUAGAAUAGAAUGUCUCCCAUACACUGUGUGUGUAUAGAAUAGAAUGUCUCCCAUACACUGUGUGUGUAUAGAAUAGAAUGUCUCCCAUACACUGUGUGUGUAUAGAAUAGAAUGUCUCCCAUACACUGUGUGUGUAUAGAAUAGAAUGUCUCCCAUACACUGUGUGUGUAUAGAAUGUCUCCCAUACACUGUGUGUGUAUAGAAUGUCUCCCAUACACUGUGUGUGUAUAGAAUAGAAUGUCUCCCAUACACUGUGUGUGUAUAGAAUAGAAUGUCUCCCAUACACUGUGUGUGUGUAUAGAAUAGAAUGUCUCCCAUACACUGUGUGUGUGUAUAGAAUAGAAUGUCUCCCAUACACUGUGUGUGUGUAUAGAAUAGAAUGUCUCCCAUACACUGUGUGUGUGUAUAGAAUAGAAUGUCUCCCAUACACUGUGUGUGUAUAGAAUAGAAUGUCUCCCAUACACUGUGUGUGUGUAUAGAAUAGAAUGUCUCCCAUACACUGUGUGUGUGUAGAAUAGAAUGUCUCCCAUACACUGUGUGUGUAUAGAAUAGAAUGUCUCCCAUACACUGUGUGUGUAUAGAAUAGAAUGUCUCCCAUACACUGUGUGUGUGUAUAGAAUGUCUCCCAUACACUGUGUGUGUGUAUAUAAUAGAAUGUCUCCCAUACACUGUGUGUGUGUAUAUAAGAAUGUCUCCCAUACACUGUGUGUGUGUAUAAUAUAAUGUCUCCCAUACACUGUGUGUGUGUGUGUAUAAUAUAAUGUCUCCCAUACACUGUGUGUGUGUGUGUAUAUAAUAGAAUGUCUCCCAUGCACUGUGUGUGUAUAUAAUAGAAUGUCUCCCAUACACUGUGUGUGUAUAUAAUAGAAUGUCUCCCAUACACGGUGUGUGUGUAUAUAAUAGAAUGUCUCCCAUACACUGUGUGUGUAUAUAAUAGAAUGUCUCCCAUACACUGUGUGUGUGUAUAUAAUAGAAUGUCUCCCAUACACUGUGUGUGUAUAGAAUAGAAUGUCUCCCAUACACUGUGUGUGUAUAGAAUAGAAUGUCUCCCAUACACUGUGUGUGUA
rnacentral:lncRNA from 1 species